rnacentral:rRNA from 1 species
CAAUAGCGUAUAUUUAAGUUGUUGCAGUUAAAAAGCUCGGAGUCGGAUUUUGGCUGAGAACGAACGGUCCGCCGUUAGGUGUGCACUGUUUGGUCUCAGCUUCCUGGUGAGGAGGUGUGCUUCACGGCCACUUAGUCACCGUGGUUACUUUGAAAAAAUUAGAGUGUUCAAAGCGGGCUUACGCUUGAAUAUAUUAGCAUGGAAUAACACCAUAGGACUCCUGUCCUAUUUCGUUGGUCUCGGGACGGGAGUAAUGAUUAAGAGGAACAGUUGGGGGCAUUCGUAUUUCAUUGUCAGAGGUGAAAUUCUUGGAUUUAUGAAAGACGAACUUCUGCGAAAGCAUUUGCCAAGGAUGUUUUCAUUGA